rnacentral:rRNA from 1 species
UACGAAGGGGGCUAGCGUUGCUCGGAAUCACUGGGCGUAAAGGGCGCGUAGGCGGACUCUUAAGUCAGGGGUGAAAGCCUGAGGCUCAACCUCAGAACUGCCUUUGAUACUGAGAGUCUCGAGACCGGUAGAGGUAAGUGGAACUGCGAGUGUAGAGGUGAAAUUCGUAGAUAUUCGCAAGAACACCAGUGGCGAAGGCGGCUUACUGGACCGGUUCUGACGCUGAGGCGACGAAAGCGGUGGGGAGCAAACAGG